UCCUGUAUGACCUCAGAGAUAAAGGUGUGUGCAUCUGGAAGGGAGGUCUUUGUGUGGCAGCAUUUCAGCUGCGUACAAGCCAUGAAAUUGCAAGUGAGAAAAGGAAGUGUGUGUUAAUUUCUACCACUCACCACUGAAUUCAGGUUUCCUUGUGGUGCAUCCUUCUCGUGGCUUCAGCAGAUUUUCAUCUCAGUGGCCUGUCUGUGACUUUAGCUGUUCUGCUACGAUACCACUUCACACCUUGUGAUCAUGGACGUCAGAUAUUCUGAGGACUAUUAUAACCCAAGUAACUACAGAUAUCCUGGGGCACCGUAUUCAACCAUUCGUCCUCCUGUUUAUUAUGAUGCCCUGAUGAUCAGCAUCUCCCUCGUCGCUGGUGUGUGUGUAAGCCUGCCAGCUUUGAUUUGGGCUCUUCAUGUUCUUUACACUCUCCACAAACAAGGAGGCCAAAUUUCAACCUUCAUCAUCCUCCUCAUCAUCAAUGACUUGGCUGAGCUGCUCACGAGUGCAAUUAUAUCAACAUAUUUAAUAGACAGCCUUGUAAAGUCCAGUGCUACAAGAUCUUUCAAUUCUUCCAUUGAAGCGUAUUUGACAGAUAUCAGGAUUUUUAUUCAUUUAUUUAUUACAUUUAGAAUCUGUGGUCUUUUCCUCCACCAACUUGUGGCUCUGAAGAGCGUGCUUUCUCUCAAACACCAGCUCUGCUCUGCUCAUGUCUUCUCUCCUCUCUGCUCCACCAUUUCCUGCAUCAUUCUGUGGCUGAUUGUCUUUGGAUUGCAGUUCAUAAAUAUGUGGUUCAAUGUGAUUUUUAGCUUUUUGCCUUGUUGCAUUUUAGUCAUCACAUGCAUACUCACUUGCAAAGCCUCUCCUGCAUCUGACCACAUCAAGCCCAGCUCAGCAGUGCUGAUCGUUUCCACAUUCACACUUAUCACUUUCUGCACAACAGCUGG